rnacentral:rRNA from 1 species
CCUAACACAUGCAAGUCGAGCGGAUGAAGGGAGCUUGCUCCUGGAUUCAGCGGCGGACGGGUGAGUAAUGCCUAGGAAUCUGCCUGGUAGUGGGGGAUAACGUCCGGAAACGGGCGCUAAUACCGCAUACGUCCUGAGGGAGAAAGUGGGGGAUCUUCGGACCUCACGCUAUCAGAUGAGCCUAGGUCGGAUUAGCUAGUUGGUGGGGUAAAGGCCUACCAAGGCGACGAUCCGUAACUGGUCUGAGAGGAUGAUCAGUCACACUGGAACUGAGACACGGUCCAGACUCCUACGGGAGGCAGCAGUGGGGAAUAUUGGACAAUGGGCGAAAGCCUGAUCCAGCCAUGCCGCGUGUGUGAAGAAGGUCUUCGGAUUGUAAAGCACUUUAAGUUGGGAGGAAGGGCAGUAAGUUAAUACCUUGCUGUUUUGACGUUACCAACAGAAUAAGCACCGGCUAACUUCGUGCCAGCAGCCGCGGUAAUACGAAGGGUGCAAGCGUUAAUCGGAAUUACUGGGCGUAAAGCGCGCGUAGGUGGUUCAGCAAGUUGGAUGUGAAAUCCCCGGGCUCAACCUGGGAACUGCAUCCAAAACUACUGAGCUAGAGUACGGUAGAGGGUGGUGGAAUUUCCUGUGUAGCGGUGAAAUGCGUAGAUAUAGGAAGGAACACCAGUGGCGAAGGCGACCACCUGGACUGAUACUGACACUGAGGUGCGAAAGCGU